rnacentral:lncRNA from 1 species
UCCGUGAAAGUGGUGUUCCCUACACUAUCGUGCGGCCAUGUGCUCUAACUGAGGAACCAGCUGGAGCUGACCUCAUAUUUGAACAGGGGGAUAAUAUUACUGUAAGUAGAGGCAGCAUGUGUCAAUGCCAUAACGUGAUUCCAUGUCUCUCCUUUUCCUCCCUACAAACCUAAUUAUGUGUUUAACAAUUACCGUGAUAAUUCAGGGAAAGAUAUCGCGGGAAGAAGUUGCCCGCAUUUGUGUUGCAGCUCUAGCUAGCCCAAAUGCAGUGGGGAAGACUUUUGAGGUUAAAUUUCUGUAACUAAUUUGUGAGAAACUACGUUGGACAGUAAAACAUUAGAAGGGAAUAGUCACGAAAAAAACAAUUUGGAACUUUUCAUUACAUAUAUCUCAGGAAGAGAGCUAAUUAUGUUGUCCUUCGUGAU